CGGGAAUCUUCGGCAAUGGACGAAAGUCUGACCGAGCAACGCCGCGUGAGUGAAGAAGGUUUUCGGAUCGUAAAACUCUGUUGUUAGAGAAGAACAAGGAUGAGAGUAACUGUUCAUCCCUUGACGGUAUCUAACCAGAAAGCCACGGCUAACUACGUGCCAGCAGCCGCGGUAAUACGUAGGUGGCAAGCGUUGUCCGGAUUUAUUGGGCGUAAAGCGAGCGCAGGCGGUUUCUUAAGUCUGAUGUGAAAGCCCGCGGCUCAACCGGGGAGGGUCAUUGGAAACUGGGAGACUUGAGUGCAGAAGAGGAGAGUGGAAUUCCAUGUGUAGCGGUGAAAUGCGUAGAUAUAUGGAGGAACACCAGUGGCGAAGGCGGCUCUCUGGUCUGUAACUGACGCUGAGGCUCGAAAGCGUGGGGAGCAAAC
rnacentral:rRNA from 1 species